rnacentral:rRNA from 1 species
GACGAACGCUGGCGGCGUGCUUAACACAUGCAAGUCGAACGGAAAGGCCCUGCUUGCAGGGUACUCGAGUGGCGAACGGGUGAGUAACACGUGGGUGAUCUGCCCUGCACUUCGGAAUAAGCCUGGGAAACUGGGUCUAAUACCGGAUAGGAGCCAUUUUUAGUGUGAUGGUUGGAAAGUUUUUUCGGUGUAGGAUGAGCUCGCGGCCUAUCAGCUUGUUGGUGGGGUAAUGGCCUACCAAGGCGGCGACGGGUAGCCGGCCUGAGAGGGUGGACGGCCACAUUGGGACUGAGAUACGGCCCAGACUCCUACGGGAGGCAGCAGUGGGGAAUAUUGCACAAUGGGCGCAAGCCUGAUGCAGCGACGCCGCGUGGGGGAUGACGGCCUUCGGGUUGUAAACUCCUUUCGCUAGGGACGAAGCUUUUUGUGACGGUACCUAGAGAAGAAGCACCGGCUAACUACGUG